rnacentral:rRNA from 1 species
AGAGUUUGAUCCUGGCUCAGAAUCAACGCUGGCGGCGUGCCUAACACAUGCAAGUCGAACGAGAAAGUGGAGCAAUCCAUGAGUAAAGUGGCGCACGGGUGAGUAACACGUGACUAACCUACCCUUGAGUGGGGGAUAACUGAGGGAAACCUUAGCUAAUACCGCAUAAUACCUACGGGUCAAAGGAGCAAUUCGCUUAAGGAGGGGGUCGCGGCCGAUUAGUUAGUUGGCGGGGUAACGGCCCACCAAGACGAUGAUCGGUAUCCGGCCUGAGAGGGCGCACGGACACACUGGAACUGAAACACGGUCCAGACUCCUACGGGAGGCAGCAGUGGGGAAUUUUGCGCAAUGGGGGAAACCCUGACGCAGCAACGCCGCGUGGAGGAUGAAGUCCUUCGGGACGUAAACUCCUUUC